rnacentral:rRNA from 1 species
CAAUAGCGUAUAUUAAAGUUGUUGCAGUUAAAAAGCUCGUAGUUGGAUGUCUGGCUCUCGCAGGAGCUGUCUGCCGAAAGGUAGCACGGCUCGGCGGGGCCAUCCUCUCGAGGACGGGGUGUGCCUUUAACUAGGUGUGCCUUUGGACUCGGGACCUUUACUUUGAAAAAAUUAGAGUGUUCAAAGCAGGCCUACGCUUGAAUACAUUAGCAUGGAAUAAUGGAAUAGGACUUCGGUUUCUAUUUUGUUGGUUUCUAGAACUGAGGUAAUGAUUAAUAGGGAUAGUUGGGGGCAUUAGUAUUUAAUUGUCAGAGGUGAAAUUCUUGGAUUUAUUAAAGACUAACAUCUGCGAAANCANNNGCCAAGGAUGUUUUCAUNAG